CCCUUAGAUGUUCUGGGCCGCACGCGCGCUACACUGACGAAUGCAACGAGCUUAUAACCUUGGCCGAAAGGUCUGGGUAAUCUCCAAAUUUCGUCGUGAUGGGGAUAGAUUAUUGCAAUUAUUAAUCUUCAACGAGGAAUGCCUAGUAAGCGCAAGUCAUCAGCUUGCGUUGAUUACGUCCCUGCCCUUUGUACACACCGCCCGUCGCUCCUACCGCUUGAAUGGUCCGGUGAAGCGUUCGGACCGUGGCCUUUGGACGGUUCGCCGUCUGUUGGCUGCGGGAAGUUCGUUAAACCUUAUCAUUUAGAGGAAGGAGAAGUCGUAACA
rnacentral:rRNA from 1 species